UGGGAAACUGUCAGAUAAGCCACCAUGGAAUGGAGAAAUUGCUUAUGCAACAAAGGCCUUUAGAAUACUGGAGGGCAUUGGGUAUGAUAAGGAUAUAUUUAAGAUGGUUUAAAAUAAAGAGCGGACAUGCUGUAGACCAAGGAUUUCUUAGAUACUUUUGACCUCCAUUCUUUGCAGUCAGUUGAAGAGAUGUUUGGAAGAAUCGGGGAAAUGGAGAAAGAUGCUGAUCUCUAAAUACAGUGAUUGCUCAAAUCUUUCCUGAUGAGAAGAAGAAGAUGAUGAUGAUACUGAUGAUCAUGGUGAUGAUGCCCUGAUUGCUUUGGGCAUUAAAACAAAAUUUAAAAGUGAAUGGACCUUGCUGGAAAGGGCAAGAAACUGCUGUCCAGGAAACCCAAAGGGAACUGAAAGACAUUAAAACCUCUGGGGAAGCAAGAAGCAAUGUCAGGAGAGGGUCCGAAAGACCAAGCCGCUCCUGGAGUACAAAGAAGCAAACUACUGGCUUGCGGAGUCCAAGUCAACUCUCCACACAGAGACCAGAGGAUCUUCUUAAAACAAGGAAAACAGGAUAAAACCUAAAAUAAUGGCAUGAGGGACAGGAGCUGCACUUCUCUUGGAAAGUAUCCCCUAAGGCCAUGGAGGAGAG